GUAAAAACUACAGCGUUAUUUUACAGAAGCUGACUGUAUUUUAAAUAAUACAGAAUAUUGCUGUAAAGUGCAAUGCAUUCUGGGGUCACUUGACGGAUUAACUCAAUGUACAGAAUAUUGCUGUAAAUUUCAAAUCUACAAUGGCGGGAUGAUCUUCAACAGUCGAGAUUGGGGUAGUGCGCAAAAUGAAUGAUUCACACCUGUGGACACACUUUGCCAUGCAGGCCACUGGAUGCUGACUACUGAAGGUUAGGUUGUGUGUGACGGUGCUCAGCACAGCUUCAUGUCUGGCCUUCCCACUCUGUUCAUAGCAUGUUACAUAUUCAGGCUUGAGUACCAGGAUGGGGCAGCAUGUACUUGGAGUCCAAUGAAAGAUAUUAAUCCAGAGAGUGGAACAAGAAGCGUCAUCUAAAAUGCCAGGAUACAGAAGAAACAGGUUGCAGUGAACCCACAUGUCGCCGCUCUUCUAAACACAAUGAUGAAUAUUCAGUGUAAUCGAUGAAAAUUCCAGCUACUUGUUGUGCUCUGAUGGAUCAAGAUGUGGACCGUUUUACAGACUCACUUGGGCCUUGUUUUGCAAUGUUGUUUCAUGAUGGUAAUGUUGGUUAACGUGUUGUUUAAACAUGAAUGUUUAAAGAGCCAUGUUGGAUACUAUGAAGUUGUUACUGAAUAAAAUUAUUUCAUGUACAACAACGUACACAAUUUGUCUGUAAUGUAUUUUUGUAUCAAUUAAAAAAAAAUAAACACUGUAUAUCCAGUAUGCAAAACAUACUGGAUAUACAGUGAUUUAUGUAUUUCUUCUAAAUAAAGUAAAUUAAAAUCAAGCAAUUUGCUGUAAAAAAUACAGCAUUAUACUGUUGCUAUUCAAAAUUACAGUUUUUCCUGUAUUCUGCAAUUACAGUAAAUGGCUGUAAAUUAAAUUACAGUACUGUGGCUGUACAAUUUACAGUAACUGGCUGGCAACCCUGCUG